UAUGAGAGUUUGAUCCUGGCUCAGGACGAACGCUGGCGGCGUGCCUAAUACAUGCAAGUCGUACGCUUCUUUUUCCACCGGAGCUUGCUCCACCGGGAAAAGAAGAGUGGCGAACGGGUGAGUAACACGUGGGUAACCUGCCCAUCAGAAGGGGAUAACACUUGGAAACAGGUGCUAAUACCGUAUAACAAUCGAAACCGCAUGGUUUUGAUUUGAAAGGCGCUUUCGGGUGUCGCUGAUGGAUGGACCCGCGGUGCAUUAGCUAGUUGGUGAGGUAACGGCUCACCAAGGCCACGAUGCAUAGCCGACCUGAGAGGGUGAUCGGCCACAUUGGGACUGAGACACGG
rnacentral:rRNA from 1 species